rnacentral:siRNA from 1 species
GCGGAUUACGGUGGCGGCCUA